AAUAGAUACCCAGGUAGUCCACGCCGUAAACGAUGAGUGCUAAGUGUUAGAGGGUUUCCGCCCUUUAGUGCUGCAGCUAACGCAUUAAGCACUCCGCCUGGGGAGUACGGUCGCAAGACUGAAACUCAAAGGAAUUGACGGGGGGCCCGCACAAGCGGUGGAGCAUGUGGUUUAAUUCGAAGCAACGCGAAGAACCUUACCAGGUCUUGACAUCCCACUGACCGGUAUAGAGAUAUACCUUUCCCUUCGGGGACAGUGGUGACAGGUGGUGCAUGGUUGUCGUCAGCUCGUGUCGUGAGAUGUUGGGUUAAGUCCCGCAACGAGCGCAACCCUUGAUCUUAGUUGCCAGCAUUUAGUUGGGCACUCUAAGGUGACUGCCGGUGACAAACCGGAGGAAGGUGGGGAUGACGUCAAAUCAUCAUGCCCCUUAUGACCUGGGCUACACACGUGCUACAAUGGAUGGUACAAAGGGGCUGCAAGACUGCGAAGUCAAGCCAAUCCCAUAAAACCCAUUCUCAGUUCGGAUUGCAGG
rnacentral:rRNA from 1 species